AAACCAACAGGGAUUGCCCUAGUAACGGCGAGUGAAGCGGCAACAGCUCAAAUUUGAAAGCUAGCCUUCGGGUUCGCAUUGUAAUUUGUAGAGGAUGCUUUGGGUAAAACGCCAGUCUAAGUUCCUUGGAACAGGACGUCAUAGAGGGUGAGAAUCCCGUAUGUGACUGGAAAUGUUAACCUAUGUAAAGCUCCUUCGACGAGUCGAGUUGUUUGGGAAUGCAGCUCUAAAUGGGAGGUAAAUUUCUUCUAAAGCUAAAUAUUGGCGAGAGACCGAUAGCGCACAAGUAGAGUGAUCGAAAGAUGAAAAGCACUUUGGAAAGAGAGUUAAAAAGCACGUGAAAUUGUUGAAAGGGAAGCGCUUGCAAUCAGACUUGUUUAAACUGUUCGGCCGGUCUUCUGACCGGUUUACUCAGUUUGGACAGGCCAGCAUCAGUUUCGGCGGCCGGAUAAAGGCUCUGGGAAUGUGGCCUCCACUUCGGUGGAGGUGUUAUAGCCCAGUGUGUAAUACGGCCAGCCGGGACUGAGGUCCGCGCUUCGGCUAGGAUGCUGGCGUAAUGGUUGUAAGCGAC
rnacentral:rRNA from 2 species